GCCAUGGGAACAAGGGGUAGGCUGGGGUAGGUGCGACUGCGCAGUGCUGCCAGCUGGGAGAGCAGCCUGAGGCAGAAGCCUCCAGCUUGCAUGAUAUUCCA